rnacentral:sRNA from 1 species
GCCUAGCCCCGAUAGCAGUGGAAAUCCUUUUGUGCCGGGGUUCGGCACAAAAGAUUGUAACGGAUAGCGGGGAAAAAC